UGGGGAAUCUUGGACAAUGGGGGAAACCCUGAUCCAGCGACGCCGCGUGGGUGAUGAAGGCCUUCGGGUCGUAAAGCCCUGUCGGGAGGGACGAAACUCCUGCCGGUAAAUAAUCGGCGAGAUUGACGGUACCUCUAAAGGAAGCACCGGCUAACUCUGUGCCAGCAGCCGCGGUAAGACAGAGGGUGCUAGCGUUGUUCGGAAUUACUGGGCGUAAAGGGCGCGUAGGCGGUCUGUUAAGUUCGGUGUGAAAUCCCCUGGCUCAACUGGGGAACUGCGCUGGAAACUGGCAGACUCGAGUACCGGAGAGGAGAGUGGAAUUCCUGGUGUAGCGGUGAAAUGCGUAGAUAUCAGGAGGAACACCGGUGGCGAAGGCGGCUCUCUGGACGGAUACUGACGCUGAGGCGCGAAAGCGUGGGGAUCAAACAG
rnacentral:rRNA from 1 species